rnacentral:rRNA from 1 species
GCAGCAUGGUCUUAGCUUGCUAAGGCUGAUGGCGACCGGCGCACGGGUGAGUAACACGUAUCCAACCUGCCGUCUACUCUUGGCCAGCCUUCUGAAAGGAAGAUUAAUCCAGGAUGGCAUCAUGAGUUCACAUGUCCGCAUGAUUAAAGGUAUUUUCCGGUAGACGAUGGGGAUGCGUUCCAUUAGAUAGUAGGCGGGGUAACGGCCCACCUAGUCAACGAUGGAUAGGGGUUCUGAGAGGAAGGUCCCCCACAUUGGGACUGAGACACGGUCCAAACUCCUACGGGAGGCAGCAGUGAGGAAUAUUGGUCAAUGGGCGAUGGCCUGAACCAGCCAAGUAGCGUGAAGGAUGACUGCCCUAUGGGUUGUAAACUUCUUUUAUAAAGGAAUAAAGUCGGGUAUGCAUACCCGUUUGCAUGUACUUUAUGAAUAAGGAUCGGCUAACUCCGUGCCAGCAGCCGCGGUAAUACGGAGGAUCCGAGCGUUAUCCGGAUUUAUUGGGUUUAAUGGGAGCGUAGAUGGAUGUUUAAGUCAGUUGUGAAAGUUUGCGGCUCAACCGUAAAAUUGCAGUUGAUACUGGAUGUCUUGAGUGCAGUUGAGGCAGGCGGAAUUCGUGGUGUAGCGGUGAAAUGCUUAGAUAUCACGAAGAACUCCGAUUGCGAAGGCAGCCUGCUAAGCUGCAACUGACAUUGAGGCUCGAAAGUGUGGGUAUCAA